UACGUAGGGUGCAAGCGUUGUCCGGAAUUAUUGGGCGUAAAGAGCUCGUAGGCGGUCUGUCGCGUCGGCUGUGAAAACCCGGAGCUCAACUCCGGGCCUGCAGUCGAUACGGGCAAACUGGAGUGUUGCAGGGGAAACUGGAAUUCCUGGUGUAGCGGUGAAAUGCGCAGAUAUCAGGAGGAACACCGGUGGCGAAGGCGGGUCUCUGGGCAACAACUGACGCUGAGGAGCGAAAGCGUGGGGAGCGAACAGG
rnacentral:rRNA from 1 species